rnacentral:lncRNA from 1 species
ACACCCCACAAUAAAUAUUCUUUUCUAAAAGGAAAUAGUUCAUUUUGACACUUUAUAAACAGAAGAGGUGUUUUGACUUUUUGUUUUGAAUGAACACUCUAAACAUAAAUGUAUAUAUACUAAAUGCUUAUGAAUUAUCUUUUUAGAAGUUAUUGAAACUGAAAUGUUACACUUAAAGUGAAAUUUUUAUUUUUAUGUUUAUUUUAUUUAUUUUAUUUUAUUUCAGACAACUAAUGGAUCUCUAGCUGUUUCUUCUAACUGCUUGAAAACUCAGACAUUCGUAUAAGAAACACUGGACAAUGAGGAGAACUGCUUCAGUACUGGAGACAGGAGUUUGGAGCGCUCCCUUGUACAAGUAUGCUUUGACCAUUGCACUUCUUCACCUCCUGUAUCUUGUUUCAUGUCCUUCAGAGAAGAAAAGUUUUUGAAGAGAAGUGGUUUGCUGCUCCUUAGAAAUGAGAGCAGUAGGCUUGAGUGCCCCUCCAGGCUCCUGUGAAGGCAAGAAAGCCUGAUUUCUUGUUUACUCUCCUCUAACUUGACACUAAGCCAGCGACACUAUUCAUUCAGCAACACUAUCCAUUUUAUA